UACGUAGGGGGCAAGCGUUGUCCGGAAUCAUUGGGCGUAAAGCGCGUGUAGGCGGCCAGGUAAGUCCGUUCUGAAAGCCCGGGGCUCAACCCCGGGAGGCGGAUGGAUACUGCUUGGCUCGAGUCCGGAAGAGGCGAGUGGAAUUCCCGGUGUAGCGGUGAAAUGCGCAGAUAUCAGGAAGAACACCCGUGGCGAAGGCGGCUCUCUGGGACGGUACUGACGCUGAGACGCGAAAGCGUGGGGAGCGAACAGG
rnacentral:rRNA from 1 species